AACGAACGCUGGCGGCAUGCCUAACACAUGCAAGUCGAACGAGACCUUCGGGUCUAGAGGCGCACGGGUGCGUAACGCGUGGGAACCUGCCCUUAGGUUCGGAAUAAAUCCCCGAAAGGGGUGCUAAUACCGGAUAAUGUCUUCGGACCAAAGAUUUAUCGCCUUUGGAUGGGCCCGCGUUGGAUUAGCUAGUUGGUAGGGUAAAAGCCUACCAAGGCGACGAUCCAUAGCUGGUCUGAGAGGAUGAUCAGCCACACUGGGACUGAGACACGGCCCAGACUCCUACGGGAGGCAGCAGUGGGGAAUAUUGGACAAUGGGCGAAAGCCUGAUCCAGCCAUGCCGCGUGAGUGAUGAAGGCCUUAGGGUUGUAAAGCUCUUUUACCCGGGAUGAUAAUGACAGUACCGGGAGAAUAAGCUCCGGCUAACUCCGUG
rnacentral:rRNA from 1 species